ACUGUUUGAGAGUUAAUUAUAUUUAGCAAGUAGGUCCAAGUCUCAGUUAGAAGAGUAUCUAGAUGAAAAAUUAGUCAGUUGGAAGAAAAAUGAUCAUUUGAAUGUUCUCGAGUAUUGGAAAGGCGAAUGCGAGAAGCGUCCUCAAUUGUCGAUGAUGGCUCGAGAUAUAUUGAGUAUUCCUAUUACUUCGGUGGCCUCUGAAUCGGCUUUCAGCAUUGCGGGACGUGUGCUUGACAAGUAUCGAAAUCGUCUUCUUCCGGAGAAUGCUGAAGCUCAAAUUUGUACUGGUUCUUGGUUAGACGGGAUUCCUUCUCUGGCAGACAUUGAAGAAGGAAAUUUAUUAGUACAUGAUUUCAGUAAUCUAGAGGUUUCUGAAUCGGAAGGCGAAAGUGAUUAAGCUGUUGAAGAUGAUGUUGCUCCUCUAACUGAAGUUUCAAAAAUUGCUCCAACUCUGGCAUAUACUGGUUAACUGACUGCUGAUGCUGCAGAGAACCUUGAAUUUGUUCAAUAAAUGGCACAGACGAAUUCUGACGAGAAAG